CAAUACAUUAUAUUGUGAAAUACAAAAAACAAUGGAGGAACUGUUGAACGACGUUGUGCCCCAAGAAGAUUUGGAGAGAUUCGAAAGAAAAUACCACCAUGAGCUUGAACUCGAUGGCGAGGUCUCAACAGAAACAAAAUUUGAAUACGCUUUCUGUCUCGUUCGGAGUCGGUACACCAACGACAUCAGAAAGGGCAUCAUGAUUUUGGAGGAUCUUGCUCGGUUACACCCGGAUGGACGACGCGAUUACAUUUAUUAUCUCGCCUUUGGAAAUGCACGAAUUAAAAACUAUUCAGAAGGCCUAAAGUACUGUAGAGCAUUUCUCGAAAUUGAAUCGAAUGAUCAAGUGCGCUCGUUAGAGGAGCACAUUAAGAAACAAAGCGAUAAGGAGGUUGCGAAGGGUAUUGCGGUUGCUGGAGGAGCUGCGCUCGUGCUCGGUGGCAUAUUGGGUCUAGGAAUCGCAAUGGCUAGAAAGUAAAAUAUUAAUAUUCACGAGCAAUUAUCACAUCUCAUUUAUUUCGUAUGCCGUGAUUUUAUACACAAGUGAACUAUCAUAAUUUAUGAACACAGUUUUAGUUUAAACCAAAACGUGAAAAAUAGUGAAAAAUGUGAUAAUAAUCUUUACGGAAUCCGAUUCCCUCCCAAUAUGUAUACAUCAAUAUACUAUCACUGUGAGGACAUGGGUUAAGCACAUAGCGCCAAUUAAUUAAUCUAUAAUAUAUUUCAAUUAUUACAAUUUCUUCAUUAGACUUUAUUCAUUUUUUUUGUAAUUACAUAUAUAGUUAUGAAGUAGUUGAUAUGAGCAAACUUAUAUAUAUAUAUAUUAAUUAAUACGCCCUGUUCAUUGCCAAAGAUUUUGGUGCAAUAAAUCAUCAAACUGGUUUUUUGAUUGUUCUCGAAUA